ensembl:snRNA U6 U6 spliceosomal RNA
GUGCUCGCUUGGCAGCACGUAGACUACAAUUGGAACAAUAUAGAGAAGAUUAGCAUGGCCCCUGUGCAAGGAUGAUACACAAAACUUUGAAGCAUUCUAUAUUAAA